CAAAACCAUCCGGGUCGGAAAAUUUUAAGUUUAUUGUCUUCAUCCACACUCUUACAGGUAUAGUCCCUAACCCUUUUCCCCAAUUUUUUUGAGUUAAGUUAAGGGAAGGAGUCCUAUGCUUUAAUUUUGAACUAACAACUGAAAACCCUCAUGCAUGUAACUCAAACCUAGAAUCUAAUGAAGAGAAAAUUAGAUAGAAGUAGAGGGCUGUGCUAUAUAGCUUGGUGAUUGAAAAUAGGAGCUUAAAACGGGAAUUUGACUCCAGGUAUGUAUGGCUAACCUUGAUUCUUGUGAAAUCGCCUUGCUUGGUACGUGAAUUGUUUGGUAGUUGAUAUCUAUAUUGGUUAUUUGUGAGCAUCUUGUGACUGGUUUGAACUGUGAAUACACUUCGUGGUAAAAGUGGAAUAACGAAUGAUCGAAGGAAUCCGUAAAUGGUGAAACAUGGCUAUUUGUGAUAACAAUGUACUUGAAAUAUUGUGGGCAAUUGUGGUAACUUGAAUUGAGUACGAAUUGUUGAAAGUUAUGAAAUUGGUACUAAUAGUUAUGGAAACACUUGUAAGACUAUUGUGGUGGUGUCUUGAGGUAUACUUGUUGUUUAUUUUUGUGACUUGCUGUUUGGUUGUAUUUGUUGUGAACUG
rnacentral:lncRNA from 1 species